rnacentral:lncRNA from 1 species
AGGGAGAGGCAGAAGCCAAGGAUUCUGGUUGCGUGGACUCUUCGCUCCAAAGUGGAAGCACCUUCUUGCUUAGCAUCUCACACUAAAGCUGUGCUCGACCUCCACCCUGCACAGAUGAAGAAGCGAAGGCUCGGGGAGUUUUGAUGACUUGCACAAGGUUGUUCAUUUGGAAAGUGAGGAGCUGCCUCUGCCCAUUGAAACUUGGGUUGACUGACUCCACGUUCCAUGUUCUCGCUCCUAUUCCGGCAAGGCUGUCAUUGCUCCUGCAUUUUUUGGAACGUCUCUCCUGGAAUGCACUGUAACCGAUUUUAACAAAUAACAGCCCCCAGAAAGGGCAUUCCUGCUGUUUCCAGGGGAAUCCAGGCACGCCGGCUUGAACCACUUGGGUUUUUCUCUCCAUAAAGCUUCAGCAGAUCUCAUCAGAAACAUGAGACUUUUGGAGCUGUCAAGAAGGCAGACAAAGACUGACCCUCAAUCUCUCGGGCAGUGACCUCCAUUGACUUCCCCCAGCGGAGAGAGAGUUCAGCUCGCGGACACUGGUAGAUCAUUGAAGAAGAGGGACAAUCGGUUGUUGCCCUUAGCAGUGACAUUGUAUUAUCUCCCAGGACAGUUCCAGAGGGACUUGGUGCCAAGUUCAGGAAAGGAGUGCCAUAAAAUAUGAAAGAAGGAGCCACACGAAAGACCUGUUAACAAGCACUGGCUCAGACAGAAGCAGGGGACAGAGUGGAGCCAACAGUUGUCCAGAUCAGGACUGCAGGAGAGAUGGGCCAGGGCAGAGGCCUGCACGUGUCUGCGGUCAAAGAGGCGCAAGUCAACAGAGCAAAGACCAAGGACGAGCUCAGGGAAAAGGGCAGAACCUAAAGGUGGAUCUGACUUCAGAGAAUCCUCAGAGAGUGACAGGUGGGUCCCACAGGCGGAGGGGAGCUCAGACCAGAUGCCGCAGAAGGAGAUGGUCCAGCUAACAGCCCUUUGGCCACACUUGCUCCUCUGCUGUCUUCUUCUCAUUCUUAAAGGAGCUGUGCACAGAUUCUGAAAUACACUGAACAAGGGGAAUUAGAGUUGCCCUUGAACCAUUCACCCUGGUGGUAGAGGGGGGAGCUGGGGAAUGGGUGUUACUCUGCUGUUGGAGCUGAGGGCUGUCCAGAGAACGGAAGAGGUAUUCUCUUGGGGAAAAGUGCCAGACUCCCAGAACAAGGUGAGGUAGGGCCAUCUGAUCCAGAGCCACAGUGGGAUGGCAA